rnacentral:rRNA from 1 species
AGAGUUUGAUCAUGGCUCAGAUUGAACGCUAGCGGGAUGCUUUACACAUGCAAGUCGAACGGCAGCGCGGACUUCGGUCUGGCGGCGAGUGGCGAACGGGUGAGUAAUGUAUCGGAACGUGCCCAGUAGCGGGGGAUAACUACGCGAAAGCGUAGCUAAUACCGCAUACGCCCUAAGGGGGAAAGCAGGGGAUCGCAAGACCUUGCACUAUUGGAGCGGCCGAUAUCGGAUUAGCUAGUUGGUGGGGUAACGGCUCACCAAGGCGACGAUCCGUAGCUGGUUUGAGAGGACGACCAGCCACACUGGGACUGAGACACGGCCCAGACUCCUACGGGAGGCAGCAGUGGGGAAUUUUGGACAUUGGGGGAAACCCUGAUCCAGCCAUCCCGCGUGUGCGAUGAAGGCCUUCGGGUUGUAAAGCACUUUUGGCAGGAAAGAAACGUCGCGGGCUAAUACCCCGUGGAACUGACGGUACCUGCAGAAUAAGCACCGGCUAACUACGUGCCAGCAGCCGCGGUAAUACGUAGGGUGCAAGCGUUAAUCGGAAUUACUGGGCGUAAAGCGUGCGCAGGCGGUUCGAAAGAAAGAUGUGAAAUCCCAGAGCUUAACUUUGGAACUGCAUUUUUAACUACCGAGCUAGAGUGUGUCAGAGGGAGGUGGAAUUCCGCGUGUAGCAGUGAAAUGCGUAGAUAUGCGGAGGAACACCGAUGGCGAAGGCAGCCUCCUGGGAUAACACUGACGCUCAUGCACGAAAGC